rnacentral:piRNA from 1 species
AGGCUGGAGGUCGGCCUUUCGCGC